rnacentral:rRNA from 1 species
UUGGAGGGCAAGUCUGGUGCCAGCAGCCGCGGUAAUUCCAGCUCCAAUAGCGUAUAUUAACGUUGUUGCAGUUAAAAAGCUCGUAGUUGAAUUUCGGGAUCAAUUUAUCGGUCGUGCCUACGGUAUGAACUGGUACAAUUGGUUUCUCCCUUCUGACGAAGCAUGAUGUCAUUAAUUUGGUGUCGUGGGGAAUCAGGACUGUUACUUUGAAAAAAUUAGAGUGUUUAAAGCAAGCAUUAGCUUGAAUACAUUAGCAUGGAAUAACGAAAUAGGACGUUUGAUCCUAUUUCGUUGGUUUCUAGGAUCGACGUAAUGAUUAAUAGGGAUAGUUGGGGGCAUUAGUAUUCAAUUGUCAGAGGUGAAAUUCUUGGAUUUAUUGAAGACUAACUACUGCGAAAGCAUUUGCCAAGGAUGUUUUCAUUAAUCAAGAACGAAAGUUAGGGGAUCGAAGACGAUCAGAUACCGUCGUAGUCUUAACCAUAAACUAUGCCGACUAGGGAUCGGAUGAUGUUAAUUUUUUAAUGACUCAUUCGGCGCCUUACGGGAAAC